UACGUAGGGUGCGAGCGUUAUUCGGAAUUACUGGGCGUAAAGCGUGCGCAGGUGGCUGAGCAAGUCGAGUGUGAAAUCCCCGGGCUUAACUUGGGAAUUGCGCUCGAAACUACUUGGCUCGAGUGUGGCAGAGGAAGGUGGAAUUCCAGGUGUAGCGGUGAAAUGCGUAGAUAUCUGGAGGAACACCGGUGGCGAAGGCGGCGUUCUGGACUGCAACUGACACUGAUAAACGAAAGCCAGGGUAGCAAACGGG
rnacentral:rRNA from 1 species